ACCCAGUGGGGUAGAGCAAGUUGUCACGACCUUGGACACACUCCAACGCUACCAUGCCAGCAUUCGGACUUACUCAACCUUUUGAGUUAAGACCAAGUCAGCCUAACCCUCAAAUAUUUAGCAAGAAAGCUAAGAAUACAAGAGAAAGGAAGCUUUGGUGGAAAGAACAUUUUAUUACUCAAGUGUUUAUUACAAAUGAUUUACACACUC